GUGGCUGACGUGACGGUGAAGCUGCAGAGCACGACGCAGGCCCUGCAGAAGGCCAAGCAGCACAUGGCUCGCCAGAUGCAGGAGUACCACGUGCUGGCCAACCUCAAGCUGGCCCUGGAUAUCGAGAUCGCCACCUACAGCAAACUGCUGGAAGGGGAGGAGAGCAGGCUGGAAUCCAGUCGGUAAACCUAGGCGUGCUGAUGCAGACAGCCGGCUAUUCGGCUGGCCGGGGCGCCAGGUCGGCCGGUCUGUUCGGUGGCUUGCAAGGGGCGGUGCCGCCGCCAGCGCCUCCCUGCUGGGAAACCGGACCGAGCAAAAUAAAA